AUACAGAAGCCUCAAGCGUUACCCGGAUCCACUGGGCGUAAAGGGUUCGUAGGCGGUUAUAUUAGUCAGACGUUAAAUCCUGAGGCUCAACCUCAGGCUCGCGUUUGAAACGGUAUAACUAGAAGAAGUGAGAGGUAAACAGAACUCAUGGUGUAGGGGUGAAAUCCGUUGAUAUCAUGGGGAAUACCAAAUGCGAAGGCAGUUUACUGGCACUUUCUUGACGCUGAGGAACGAAAGCUAGGGUAGCGAACGGGAUUAGAUACCCCAGUAGUCC
rnacentral:rRNA from 1 species